CCGCUGCCCUCCUUGGGCGUUUCCUCCCUAGACUUCGGGCCGCUCUUUCGGGCGGCUUUUUUUUGU
rnacentral:sRNA from 1 species